GGAGGUAUAGCUCAAGUGGCAGAGCACCUGCUUAGCAUGCAUGAGGUCCUGGGUUCAAUCCCCAGUACCUCCU
rnacentral:tRNA from 1 species